rnacentral:hammerhead_ribozyme from 1 species
AUCCAGCUGAUGAAUUCUAAAUAGGAUGAAAUGCACAUCAAACAGGAU